rnacentral:tRNA from 1 species
GCUUUAUUAGUUUAAGAAAACAAUCAAUCUUGUAAAUUGAGGAAUUAAGGUUAAAUUCCUUAAUAAAGCU